UACGAAGGGAGCUAGCGUUGUUCGGAAUCACUGGGCGUAAAGCGUGCGUAGGCGGCUUCUCAAGUCAGGGGUGAAAUCCCACAGCUUAACUGUGGAACUGCCUUUGAAACUGAGAGGCUAGAAUGUGAGAGGGGAUGGCGGAAUUCCUAAUGUAGAGGUGAAAUUCGUAGAUAUUAGGAGGAACACCCGUGGCGAAGGCGGGUCUCUGGGCCGAAACUGACGCUGAGGAGCGAAAGCGUGGGGAGCAAACAGG
rnacentral:rRNA from 1 species